rnacentral:lncRNA from 1 species
GGUGAUGCUGCUGCUGCUGCUGCUGUUGUUGGUGUUGUUGCUGUUGUUGUUGGUGCUGCUGCAGGUUCUGAGGAAGGUUUCUUUGAAGUUGAUUUUGAGUAGAAGAUUGCUGCUGAAGAAUACUGUUAGCCUGGGCAAGGGACUGAGGUUGCAGAAGCGGGGACUGAGGUUGCAGAAGCGGGGACUGAGCUUGGCUGGAGGGUAGACUUUGAUUAACCAAAUUUUGCCUGGCUACUUGUGUCAUAUCGCCCAUCUGUUGCUGUCGUUGUACCAUGGAUGCUAAUGGGUUCAUAGUGGACUGCAUCUUUGGUAGUUGG